rnacentral:lncRNA from 1 species
UGACCGGUGUUGUUUGAUGUCUUGUUGUUCAUUCCAUGUGGAGUUAUGGCUUCAAGCUUAGUAUAGCAGUUUAUUCCUCUUUUGAAAGCGUUGUAUGAUAUCAAUGUCGGUGUCGAAGUAAAAGCGCGAUCCAGGUGUGGUUGUGAGUGAUAGUUUCCCUGUAAAAGUGAAAUAUUUGUAAGCAUUUAUUUUGACGUAAUAUUAUGUUUAGUUUAUUACCUUCAUGUAAUCGUGAAAUAUACUUGUGAUGAUUAUGAUUUGUUUUUUCUGGUAGAUAUGUGAUUUAGCUCCCUGAAAUUUGCCGCCUCGUUGUCCCAGAUAGUUAGACGUACCAUUUUCGAUCUACUAAAAAUGAUUGUAUUAUAUAUUUAUUAGUUAAAAUAAAUAUUAUUAAUAAAGUGUUAGUACCUGUGUAAACGCAAUCCAAUGAUGAUCUUAGAAUAUGUGUUCUUGUUAUAUAAAUCACUUCUUUGGAUGAGGCAUAUUCGACCAACAACAUCUGUGAUAAUAUUUUUUUUAUAGUGAGGAAAAAGAGAAUUUAUUUGUUUGCGAGACCGGCAAUGGUUUUUUUUUACCUGGGAGGAAAUUGGUUGCACUUGCUAAGUUGAUCAAUUGGGGGUAGCGUUGGGGCCGGAAUAUGUAUGAAGGUAUUGGUGGAAUGUUUUUUUCAAUCUGUGUAAUUAUUGUUGUCUCACUGAUAUUGAUUAUGUAUGGUUGAACUGUAAGACUGUACCGUUGGUUAUUGGGAAGGAGAUUAAAAUAUCUAAUGUGAUAAAUUUUCCCUUCCUCGAACCGUUGGUACAUUUUGUCCGACGUAGAAAUAGGCACCCUCCCUUCCAUUUUCUGUUCCUGUUGAGUGGUUUAAAGCAAUCAUUUCAUAUGUAGUUGGAAAGAAUAAAAACAAAGUAUUUUUUAGACAAACCUGGAUGUCAAGAUAAAUGAAAGUUGUUCCUAGGAAAGCAUUUUUGUUUUGUGAUUUGUGAUGGGCCACAUCCUAAUGAUCCUAACGAUUAUUGGUUGCGGUCCGAGGUUGUUGCUCCGGUUAUUGUGAUCUUCGGCUGCAUGAUUUGCACAGAUAACUGUGUGAUUUAUUUUUUGUUGACCAUUUUUUUUAAUUUUUUGAAGUGAACACAGUUAUAAUUUGUUUGUUUUUUUAAAAAAUUGGAUUUCUUUCAUUUAAUUUAAUAUAAUUAAAGAAUAUGUAUUUGGAGUGACCAAAAUUUGAUUUAAUUUUUAAAAAUUGGUUUUUGAAGUGAAGAUAGUUUGUUUGUUUGUUUUUUAUUGGCAAUCAAAAGGACGUAGCAUGAGUAUUUGGAAGUGUUAAUUUUUAAUUAUUUUAUUGGGUCUAAAUAUAAUAAAAAGGAACUUUAAGAAGUAAUGUCAACAUUAUGUCAAAUCAGUUAUUUAGUAUACAUUAUAUUUUAUUAUUGGUUGAAUAAUAAAUACUAAUGAUGUUUUAUUUUAAAAAUGUAUAAUAUAAAUAUGUUGUUGUAAAAUUAAUACGGUUCAUAGUUUGUAUUUUUAAAUACAAAAAAUCACUACUAUCUGAAAGGAAAAUCUACCUUAGAUUUAAGUAUUAAAUUAAUAUAUCAAUACUAAUAAUUUUUUGAUUCAAAAAGGAACUUGUAAAUAUAAAAUACCUCCUAGAAGGGAAGGAUCUCUGGAUGUUGAUUUGACCAUGGUGUUGGGAUCAGCACUUCCUUAAACAAAAUGAAGAAUAUUAAAAUGAUUGUUCAGAUCGACCACCAAAAAAAAGGUUACCUAAUUGGCUUUUGCGACGAAGGGGUAGAGCUGGUUGAUCGUAAACGAUUUCUUACCAAAUGACGUUAGGAGGUUUUCUCGUGGGAUUUUGUAUCUACGUGCAGAUGUUGAUAACUUAAACGGAAUACCAAUACUAUAGACUAAUCGUUUGAAUAGCUUACACUGAUUAGGUUGAAUAACUUAGACUGAUUUUCUGCAGAGGGAGAGACGAUGGAUAAAUGUUAUGGUGAGCUUAGAGUCAAAGCUUGAAUAUAUAUUUUGAUUAACGUUAUGGUUUUGUUUC